rnacentral:rRNA from 1 species
UACGGAGGAUGCGAGCGUUAUCCGGAUUUACUGGGUGUAAAGGGCGUGUAGGCGGGACUGCAAGUCAGAUGUGAAACCCAUGGGCUCAACCCAUGGCCUGCAUUUGAAACUGUAGUUCUUGAGUGAUGGAGAGGCAGGCGGAAUUCCGUGUGUAGCGGUGAAAUGCGUAGAUAUUAGGAGGAACACCAGUGGCGAAGGCGGCUUACUGGACGAUGACUGACGCUGAGGCUCGAAAGCGUGGGGAGCAAACAGG